rnacentral:rRNA from 1 species
CCUACGGGCGGCAGCAGUGGGGAAUAUUGCACAAUGGGGGAAACCCUGAUGCAGCAACGCCGCGUGAGUGAAGAAGUAUUUCGGUAUGUAAAGCUCUAUCAGCAGGGAGAAGAAUGACGGUACCUGACUAAUAAGCCCCGGCUAACUACGUGCCAGCAGCCGCGGUCAUACGUAGGGGGCGAGCGUUAUCCGGAUUUACUGGGUGUAAAGGGGGCGAAGACGGGCCUGAAAGAUCGAAGUGAAAGCCCGUGGCCUAACCGUGGCACGGCUUUGGAAACUGUGGAACUGGAGUGCUGGAGAGGCAAGCGGAAUUCCUAGUGUAGCAGUGAAAUGCGUAGAUAUUAGGAGGAACACCAGUGGCGUAGGCGGGUUGCUGGACAGUAACUGACGUUGAGGCUCGAAAGCGUAGGGAGCAAACAGGAUUAGAUACCCCUGUAGUC